rnacentral:rRNA from 1 species
GAGCCUGAUGCAGCGACGCCGCGUGAGGGAUGACGGCCUUCGGGUUGUAAACCUCUUUCAGCAGGGACGAAGCGCAAGUGACGGUACCUGCAGAAGAAGCACCGGCCAACUACGUGCCAGCAGCCGCGGUAAGACGUAGGGUGCGAGCGUUGUCCGGAUUUAUUGGGCGUAAAGAGCUCGUAGGCGGCUUGUCGCGUCGACCGUGAAAACUUGGGGCUCAACCCCAAGCCUGCGGUCGAUACGGGCAGGCUAGAGUUCGGUAGGGGAGACUGGAAUUCCUGGUGUAGCGGUGAAAUGCGCAGAUAUCAGGAGGAACACCGGUGGCGAAGGCGGGUCUCUGGGCCGAUACUGACGCUGAGGAGCGAAAGCGUGGGGAGCGAACAGGAUUAGAUACCCUGGUAGUCCACGCUGUAAACGUUGGGCGCUAGGUGUGGGGGGCCUCUCCGGUUCUCUGUGCCGCAGCUAACGCAUUAAGCGCCCCGCCUGGGGAGUACGGCCGCAAGGCUAAAACUCAAAGGAAUUGACGGGGGCCCGCACAAGCGGCGGAGCAUGCGGAUUAAUUCGAUGCAACGCGAAGAACCUUACCUGGGUUUGACAUGGCCGCAAAACUUCCAGAGAUGGGAGGUCCUUCGGGGGC